CCUUUGACGUUAGCGGCGGACGGGUGAGUAACACGUGGGUAACCUACCUAUAAGACUGGGAUAACUUCGGGAAACCGGAGCUAAUACCGGAUAAUAUUUCGAACCGCAUGGUUCGAUAGUGAAAGGUGGUUUUGCUAUCACUUAUAGAUGGACCCGCGCCGUAUUAGCUAGUUGGUAAGGUAACGGCUUACCAAGGCGACGAUACGUAGCCGACCUGAGAGGGUGAUCGGCCACACUGGAACUGAGACACGGUCCAGACUCCUAGGGAGGCAGCAGUC
rnacentral:rRNA from 1 species